rnacentral:lncRNA from 8 species
AUGUUUGCAUUUCCUGUUGUGCAGGAAAAUUACAACAACAAAAGAGUGAUUGAAUUAAGAUCCUACAUCUGUAGGGUGCCAUUUGGGACACAGCCUUGGAAUGGAUUUGUAAAUGGAACACAUACUAUGAUAUACUUAUUUAUAUCCUCUCUGUUCCUACUGGCUCAUAAAGGCAGACACAAGACCUCUCCACUUCUGACGAUCCAAAGCUUGUUUGGCAGUCUGGCUCUGGUUAUGACAUCGUGGCAGCCUGAAGCUGUGGGGUGGAUGCCAUACAUCAAAAGACCGUGUGGAGUGAUCCUCCUGAGCUCAGCAAUAAUGCACAGCCAUGAUGUGGAUGUGGAUGUGUUUGUGUUUGUGUGUGUGUGUCUGUGUGUGUGUGUGUGUGUGUGUGUGUGUGUGUGUGUGUGUGUGUGUGUGUGUGUGUAUAUUUGGGACUACAUUAACCUCUUGUGUGCCCCUCCAGGGACAAGCACUUGAGACUCUCAGCUGUGCAUGACUUCUUUUACACAUCCACACACAGAUGCACGCGCACCACACACACCAAAAGCAAUACAGCAAUUGGGGGCUGUUACAACUGCGUUCGUCACCCGGGAUACAGCCUGUCAACAUCAUAAUGGGAUGGGAUUUACAACUAUGCUUGGAAGAAAAAACCCACCAAGCAACAAAACCCCCAAAGGAGAAGACUUGUGUAAGCAAAUCCUACUGUUCACAUUCUCUGCUGCUCUGCUCUUUCAUGCACACAGUUAUUCUCUCAACAUGUGCGCGCGCGCACACACACACACACACACACACACACACACACUAUUUAAAACCUCGGCACAGAAAUAGAGGUGGACAAUAGGCCUAAUGAGCCUUGUCACUGGAGAUAUAAAUGUAGGGUGGACCAGCGGCCUGGAAAAGUAAUUCAAUGUCAAAUCGUACGCAUUGAUCUGGGCUAUGUUUGGACACGGUCGUUUUAGUUUAGUGUGUUCAGUUUCACAAUAAGAGAUUAAACCCUACAGAGAACCACAGAUAAAGUCUUUGACUGAUCCACUUCCCUGUUCAAACUGUUCCAGACAGAAGGUCUCCUCACAGGAGGGGGGCUAGAUAGCACUUAUUAGAGUUAUUAUUAUUAUUAUUUUUUAAAUCAGGUCAAGAAAUGUUCUACAGACUCUUUAACCUGCGUUGAAUAGAGAGAGAUAUAUAGUUUGUGCAUCCCAAAUGGAACCCUAUUCCCUGUGUAGAUCACAACUUUUGACAAACGUUUGAAAAAAGUAGUGCACUAUAGAGGGAAUAGGGUGCCAUUUGGGUGAUGGCUGGGCUUGUAGUUGUAGUGUGACCUACAUAAAAGAAUGAACCAAUAUACUACAGCCAGUGUUGAGACAAAUUCUUAUGACUAUUACUCACUGUACAUGCAAUGGUAAACAUGGUUAAUAAACAUUACAUUACAGUACUGUAUUUUGAAGUACUAGAUGUUAUACCGUUAGCAAUAUCUUAAGAACAGCAGUACUGCCUUCAUGUGAAAUGGUAAACAUGGUUAAGAUACUGUUCUGUGCAUUGUGGUCAUUUAGCAGACACUUUUCUAAAGCGACUUACAGAACUGUCAGCGUUAAAAGCGUCUCAUAUUUGGCUUACGUACAUUGACUUGCAUUACAUUAUAGUAUGUAGUACAGUAUAUUCUAUCACAACAAUAUAUUUGCAACACAACAGUAAUUCAGGUAAACAGUAUGAUAUGAAACAUGACCUUCGAACUUCAGUCUGAAUUUUUAUGAAUAGAAGACAAAGCAGGCGUGUGUACCAUUCUGUAGGCUGUCAUGGAGCUGUGCAAUACAAUGCCAGGGCUUAUGUCAUUCUGAAUGAGACUUGAUAUGAAAAGUAGAGCAAAGCAGUGAUUAGACAGAUCAGAAAAGACAGAGAAGACGUGAGUCACACUAACCGUGGACUGUGACUCCCGACUGCUCCUCUUCAGUCUCCUCUGACUCAAGGUUUAGCCAGCAGGGCUGUGGAGAAGUUGAACUUUUCAGUGCCUAGUCUUCACACCAAUUGGACAGUCUUCACAUUUUGCUGCCUUACAAUUAUAUCUAAAAGGGAUUACAUUUUAUUUGUUUCCUUCUGAUCUACACAACCUGCUCCACAUUUUCAAAGUGAAAGAAAGAUAGAACGUUUUGAAAAUGAAUGCAAAUAAAAAAAAUAAGCGCCAUUAUAGCUGUGAAUCAUUUUGAAUAAGAUUCUACCAACUUUGCACAACUUUUAGGGCAACAUAUCCAUUGUUUUUGUCAAAAUUGCUCAAGCUCUGUACAUUUGGUUGGGAAUCAUUGAUGGACAGCCAUAUUCAAACCUUGUCUCAGACUUUUAAGCAGAUUCAAGUCAGGACUGAGACUGGACCACUCAGCAACACUCAACACGUCUUAGAAAGCCAUUCUGGUGUGUCUUUGGCAUUAACAUUUGUACAGCUGAAAAAUAAAACUCUAUCCCAGGGUUAGAUAUUCAGAAGACUGAGGGAGAUUUUCCUCUAACUUUUUCUCUGUGGUAGCAGAGAGAACAGUCUAUGACUAGGGUGGCUGGGGUCUUUGACAAUGUUUAGGGCCUUCCUCUGACACCGCCUGGUAUAGAGGUCCUGGAUGGCUGGAAGCUUGGCCCCAGUGAUGCCCUGGCCGUUUGCACUACCCUCUGUAGUGCCUUGCGGUCGGAGGCCGAGCAGUUGCCAUACCAGGCAGUGACGCAACCAGUCAGGAUGCUCUCGAUGGUGCAGCUGUAGAACCUUUUGAGGAUCUGAGGACCCAUGCCAAAUCAAACCCCUACCUACAUGUACAUAAUAUCUCAAUUAGCUCGACUAACCUGUACCCACGCACAUUGACUCUGUACCGGUACCCCCUGUAUAUAGCGUCGCUAUUGUUAUUUUACUGUUGCUCUUUUCUUUUGUACUUUAGUUUAUUUAGUCAAUAUUUUUUCUUCACUUUUUUCUUAACUGCAUUGUUGGUAAAGGGCUUGUAAGUAAGCAUUUCACGGUAAGGUCUACACCUGUAGUAUUCGCCACAUGUGACAAAUACAAUUUGAUUUGAUUUAACCCUAAACUCAACAAUUUGGAAUUAAUGCCUAAACUUAAAUGUUAGUUUAACUUUUACGGGGUUUGACUGACAGCUAAGAUAGUGCACCGCAUGGCGUAAUUAAAAUGUCAAGCAAUGGAGUAAUUCUGUGACAGCUAAGAUGGUGUAAUUAAAUGACGCAAUGACGUAAUUCCGUUGCUGCAUUUUAUUUGGAGAUUGGGUUUGGAUUUCUGAUCCUGGAGAAAGUUUCACGAGGCAGAGGUGUGUGUGAGUGUGUGUGUGUGCGUGUGAGUGAGUGAGUUAAUUAAUUAAUUUAGUUUCGUGUCAAAUUUCCAGUCGUCCCUUACGAGAUUAAUUGACACAAACAAACAUUACAAUGAUUUACAGUGAACCCAGUCUGGCACAAAGAGAAGAUUCAAGUGUGAGACAGGCCUACACAUAGUCUAUAAACAGUGCCUUCAGAAUGUAUUCACAGCCCUUGACUUUUUCCACAUUGCGUUGUGUUACAGCCUGAAUUUAAAAUGGAUUGUAUCACUGGCCUAGACACAAUAAUGUCAAAGUGGAAUUAUAUUUUUUGAAAUGUUGCUAAUAAAUGAUAAAUGAAAAGCUGAAAUGUCUUGAGUUAACCCUCCUGCU